rnacentral:rRNA from 1 species
CCUGCGGAAGGAUCAUUAUUGAAUGAACAUGGAGUUUGGUUGUCGCUGGCCCCUUUACUGGGGCAUGUGCACGCCUUUCUCUAUUCAUCCACACACACCUGUGAACUUGUGAGACGGAUAGUAGUCUUUCUCUAAGGGGGAAACGAGCUCCGUCUGKCAAUACAUAAACUCCAUUUAAUAAAAUCUGAAUGUCAUUUGAUGUAACGCAUCUAUAAACUAAGUUUCAACAACGGAUCUCUUGGCUCUCGCAUCGAUGAAGAACGCAGCGAAAUGCGAUAAGUAAUGUGAAUUGCAGAAUUCAGUGAAUCAUCGAAUCUUUGAACGCACCUUGCGCUCCUUGGUAUUCCUCGGAGCAUGCCUGUUUGAGUAUCAUGAAACCCUCAAAAUAAAUCUUUUGUUCACUCGAUUGAUUUUAUUUUGGACUUGGAGGUCUUGCAGAUUCACGUCUGCUCCUCUUAAAUUUAUUAGCUGGAUCUUGACUAGCUCGGUUCCACUCGGCGUGAUAAGUAUCACUCGCUGAGGACACUGUAAAAGGUGGCCGGGAUUUUCUAAUGAACCGCUUCUAAUAGUCCAUUGACUUGGACGACAAUAUUAAUUUAUGAUCUGAUCUCAAAUCAGGUAGGACUACCCGCUGAACUUAA